UACGUAGGGACCAAGCGUUGUUCGGAUUUACUGGGCGUAAAGGGCGCGUAGGCGGCGCGGUAAGUCACUUGUGAAAUCUCUGAGCUUAACUCAGAACGGCCAAGUGAUACUGCAGUGCUAGAGUGUGGAAGGGGCAAUCGGAAUUCUUGGUGUAGCGGUGAAAUGCGUAGAUAUCAGGAGGAACACCCGUGGCGAAAGCGGCUCUCUGGGACGGUACUGACGCUGAGACGCGAAAGCGUGGGGAGCAAACAGG
rnacentral:rRNA from 1 species